ACUCCUACGGGAGGCAGCAGUGGGGAAUCUUGGACAAUGGGGGCGAACCCUGAUCCAGCCAUGCCGCGUGAGUGAAGAAGGCCUUAGGGUCGUAAAGCUCUUUCGCCUGUGAAGAUAAUGACGGUAGCAGGUAAAGAAACCCCGGCUAACUCCGUGCCAGCAGCCGCGGUAAUACGGAGGGGGUUAGCGUUUGUUUCGGAAUUUACUGGGCGUAAAGCGCGCGUAGGCGGACCAGAAAGUUGGGGGUGAAAUCCCGGGCUCAACCCCGGAACUGCCUCCAAAAACUCCUGGUCUUGAGUUCGAGAGAGGUGAGUGGAAUUCCGAGUGUAGAGGUGAAAUUCGUAGAUAUUCGGAGGAACACCAGUGGCGAAGGCGGCUCACUGGCUCGAUACUGACGCUGAGGUGCGAAAGUGUGGGAGCAAAACAGGAUUAGAUACCCUGGUAGGACAGUG
rnacentral:rRNA from 1 species